rnacentral:rRNA from 1 species
GACGAACGCUGGCGGCGUGCUUAACACAUGCAAGUCGAGCGAUGAAACACCUUCGGGUGCGGAUUAGCGGCGAACGGGUGAGGAACACGUGAGGAAUCUGCCUUCCACUCUGGGAUAACUCCGGGAAACCGGGGCUAAUACCGGAUACUUUCAACUGGCGGCAUCGCCGGUUGAAGAAAGUUUUUCGGUGGAAGAUGACCUCGCGGCCUAUCAGCUUGUUGGUGAGGUAAAGGCUCACCAAGGCGACGACGGGUAGCCGGCCUGAGAGGGCGACCGGCCACACUGGGACUGAGACACGGCCCAGACUCCUACGGGAGGCAGCAGUGGGGAAUAUUGGGCAAUGGAGGAAACUCUGACCCAGCGACGCCGCGUGAGGGAUGACGGCCUUCGGGUUGUAAACCUCUUUCAGCACCGACGAAGCGCAAGUGACGGUAGGUGCAGAAGAAGGACCGGCCAACUACGUGCCAGCCGCCGCAGUAA